rnacentral:lncRNA from 1 species
ACCUUAGGAUGCAGAUCAGAACGACACAGCCCAGUGGUUCCAAGAGAGCCAGUGUCAGCACCAAACAGACUGUCCGGGCGUUUUCUCUCUCUUCUGAAAGCCACAGGCUGACUCUCUCUCAACCACCAUUGUGACAUGAUGACGGGUGGAUCAAGUCCUCCCAGCAAGCAGGGCAGCAGGAUACAAACAGCAUAGCCCUCCUUUCAACAACAAAUAUCAGUGGACCCAUCUGGAAGGGCAGGCAGCCUCACCCAAGGGUGGUGACAACCCAGACAUCACGCAAACCUCUCUCUCUCUGUCCCAGACUUGUUAGGCAAUAGGUUAGCUCUGAGAGGAACUGACCAAUGACACCCCAAAAGGAAGAUAUGAAGAACAAUAGGAGAUAGUGGUAGACUCAAGCCGGGUCAGCUCAAACUGGCUUCAGGGACUUUCUCAUCAGGAGAGCAGGUCACAUUACAGUUGCCUAUAGCCACGAUGCUGUUGUCUUUCCUGAUGGUCCAGGGACUGAAGAAUCUGUUCCUUCCUCCAAGGCCCCUGCCAAGCUCUAUAAGGCGGCCAUCUUUCCCAGUGAGGCUGCUCCUUGGACCUGAAGGCCUGCUCUCUUGCGUCUGGGCCCCGUUUUGGAAUAAUUCUGAAGGGACGCACCGGAUUCAGAGAUGUCGAAUGCACAGUUAAAAACAAAUAAACAAACAAACAAACACGAAACAAACCCACCACAGUAAGCCAGAGCAGUGAGAGAGAAAAGUGGCUGUAAAAACUUUUCGGAAUACUUUGGGAACCGG